UGGGGAAUCUUGGACAAUGGGGGCAACCCUGAUCCAGCAAUGCCGCGUGGGUGAAGAAGGCCUUCGGGUUGUAAAGCCCUUUCGGCAGGGAAGAAAUCGGCGGGGCGAAUAACCCUGCUGGAUGACGGUACCUGCAGAAGAAGCACCGGCUAACUACGUGCCAGCAGCCGCGGUAAUACGUAGGGUGCGAGCGUUAAUCGGAUUUACUGGGCGUAAAGCGUGCGCAGGCGGCCCGUUAAGACAGGUGUGAAAUCCCUGGGCUCAACCUAGGAAUUGCGCUUGUGACUGGCGGGCUCGAGUACGGUAGAGGGGGGUGGAAUUCCUGGUGUAGCAGUGAAAUGCGUAGAGAUCAGGAGGAACACCGAUGGCGAAGGCAGCCCCCUGGGCCUGUACUGACGCUCAUGCACGAAAGCGUGGGGAGCAAACAGG
rnacentral:rRNA from 2 species